rnacentral:rRNA from 1 species
AGCAGUCGCCGCGGUAAUACGGAGGGUGCAAGCGUUAAUCGGAAUUACUGGGCGUAAAGCGCACGCAGGCGGUCUGACAAGUCAGAUGUGAAAUCCCCGGGCUUAACCUGGGAACUGCAUUUGAAACUGUCAGGCUGGAGUCUUGUAGAGGGGGGUAGAAUUCCAGGUGUAGAGGUGAAAUGCGUAGAGAUCUGGAGGAAUACCGGUGGCGAAGGCGGCCCCCUGGACAAAGACUGACGCUCAGGUGCGAAAGCGUGGGGAGCAAACAGGAUUAGAUACCCGCGUAGUCCCUGUCUCUUAUAC